UUCGAAUACAUCACGAGCGCUGUGCAUGUUAUGUCUAUAAGUCAUGUAAAACAAUUAAUUGCUAACUGAAAUAAAUGAAUAAUGUGAUUAUACGGUUUGUAAUGUGAUGUUUUAUUAGAUUAUUUUGCAAUUAUUUUGCGUUUAAGAAUCCUGCUGGAUCUAAAAAGUUUGUGACUCAGCAUUCGCGGAAUCACGAAUAAACUAGGGGUCUGAUUAUUACCACAUACUACAUUAUUGAGUAUCAGCACAUUGUGCAUGCUCAACAUCACUAUAUUUUGCAUUAGAUGAAUAUCAUCAUGUGUCCAAUAACAGUAUUGUCCAUGCUCAUCAUCAGCAUACAUCGCAGUAUUGAACAUCAGCAUUUAUUUGUGUCCUCCAGCUGUCGGAGGAGGACUGGAGCCGCAGGUUGGAGCAGCUGCGGGACGAGCUGGACGAGAUGUACGGGCAGCAGAUCACGCAGAUGAAGCAGGAGCUGCGCCUUCAGCAUGCAGCAGAGGUGCAGCGGCUGCAGGACAUGCAGAGCUCGGAAACAGAGAAGAUCAUCCUGCAGCAUCAGGCGGAGCUGGAGCGCUUCAGAGGACAGCUGUACCAGAGCACCGGCGGAGUCAAUGUGCUGAACGUCAAGAUGAUCGAGCUCCAGCAGAAACUGCAGGAGACGCAGGUGCUGCGGGAGAAAGCGGAGCAGGAGCUGACGGAGCUGCGGGAGGAAAAACGGCAUCUUCUGGAGAAGCUGGAGCAUCUGAAAGCAGAUCUACAGUCCUCAGAUCAUCUGCGUGCUGCCAUGAGUGACCUGCAGAUGAAGCUGGAUGAAGCGCUGAAGGAGAACACCAGCAUUAAUGCUGAACAUGAGUCUGAAGUCACCAAUUAUAAGAUCAAACUGGACAUGCUGGAGCGGGAGAAAGACGCAGUGCUGGACCGCAUGGCUGAAUCACAGGAGGCUGAGCUGGAGCGCCUGCGCACACAGCUGCUGUUCAGCCAUGAAGAAGAGCUAACGCGACUCCGAGAAGACCUGCAGAUGGAGAACCAGCUCAACAUAGAAAACCUGCGCGACGAAAUAAACACCAAACACCAGCAGGCCAUUCACGAGCUGCAGAAUCAGCUGAGCGAUGCGCUAAAGAACAUGCGCGAAAAAGAGUCCGAACUACAGCAGAACAUCCAGCAUCUCAGCACAGAGAACACACACCUCCAUCAGGAGAUCGAGAAGCAGAAAAACACCUUCUCCUUCGCCGAGAGGAACUUCGAGGUCAACUAUCAGGAGCUAAAGGAGGAGUACACAUGUCUGGCUAAUGCUAAGCUGCAGCUUGAGGAGCGUUUGGCUAAGGGUAGCAUGCAGGCUAAAGCUAACGGCGCUGUGGAGAAGCACAGCACUGAGCUGAUGGAGAAGCUGGAGAAGGAGAACAAGAGUCUCUCAGAGCGGAUUAUUAUUCUGGAGCGAGAGCGCGCCGUGCAGACGCAUCACAUGCACAGCAUCAGAUGUGCGCGCGCGGACGACACGCACACACACUCUCUCACACACACCGAUGCGCAGGAUCAUCCACUCGCAGCUCUGCCGCCGCAGCAGCUGACCAGAGGAGAUGUUCAGACUGAUGGAGUGUGUGUGAUGCAGCCGCUGGAGAUGGACGGCGCUGAACAUGUGAGUCUAUAAACCACACACACACACACACUCAUUCCUGUCCUGUACGUCUGGAGCCGUGCGCUGCUAAAAUAAUAACAUGCGGGAUCAACCGCAAGCACAUCAGAGUCAGAAACAGCUGCUGACCUGCACUGAUCUGUGUGUGUGUGUGUGUGUGUGUGUGUGUGUGUGUGUGCUGUUAGAGCGCUGUCUGUGUUUCUGAGCACAUUAAUAGCGUCUGGACGUCCGUCUUCUUCAUUAAAAUGCUUGAUUUGUGCUGUUGUGAAGUAUAAUCAAAGCGCGCGCACACACACACACACACACACACACACACACACACACACACAUCCAGACCCGUGCUUUCACACACACACAUGUACAUCAGAGCAUAUCUCUCUCUCUCUAUCUCUCUCUCUCUCUCUCACACACACACACACACACACACACACUCACACACACACACACACACACACUCACACACACUCACACACACUCACACACACUCACACACACACACACACACACACACACGGUCUCCCUCUCACACACACCUGUGGAUUAGCACAUCACAGGCCUCUUUUUAUUUGAAACAGAGUGUGUGUGUGUGUGUGGUUUAUAGACUCACAUGUUCAGCGCCGUCCAUCUCCAGCGGCUGCAUCACACACACUCCAUCAGUCUGAACAUCUCCUCUGGUCAGCUGCUGAACAGUGAAUAUAAUCAGAAAGAGCAUCCAGAAGGAUUCNNNNNNNNNNNNNNNNNNNNNNNNNNNNNNNNNNNNNNNNNNNNNNNNNNNNNNNNNNNNNNNNNNNNNNNNNNNNNNNNNNNNNNNNNNNNNNNNNNNNGAGUGUGUGUGAGUGUGUGUGAGUGUGUGUGAGUGUGUGUGAGUGU
rnacentral:lncRNA from 1 species